CCUACGGGAGGCAGCAGUGGGGAAUAUUGCACAAUGGGGGAAACCCUGAUGCAGCGACGCCGCGUGAGUGAGGAAGUAUUUCGGUAUGUAAAGCUCUAUCAGCAGGGAAGAAGAAAUGACGGUACCUGACUAAGAAGCCCCGGCUAACUACGUGCCAGCAGCCGCGGUAAUACGUAGGGGGCAAGCGUUAUCCGGAUUUACUGGGUGUAAAGGGAGCGCAGGCGGCAUGAUAAGUCUGAUGUGAAAACCCAAGGCUCAACCAUGGGACUGCAUUGGAAACUGUCGUGCUGGAGUGUCGGAGAGGUAAGCGGAAUUCCUAGUGUAGCGGUGAAAUGCGUAGAUAUUAGGAGGAACACCAGUGGCGAAGGCGGCUUACUGGACGAUGACUGACGCUGAGGCUCGAAAGCGUGGGGAGCAAACAGGA
rnacentral:rRNA from 1 species